rnacentral:rRNA from 1 species
GUGGUAGUCCACGCGUAAACGAUGAGUGCUAAGUGUUAGGGGGUUCCGCCCUUUAGUGCUGCAGCUAACGCAUUAAGCACUCCGCGUGGGGAGUACGACCGCAAGGUUGAAACUCGAAGGAAUUGACGGGGGCCCGCACAAGCGGUGGAGCAUGUGGUUUAAUUCGAAGCAACGCGAAGAACCUUACCAGGUCUUGACAUCCUUUGACAACUCUAGAGAUAGAGCUUUCCCUUCGGGGACAAAGUGACAGGUGGUGCAUGGUUGUCGUCAGCUCGUGUCGUGAGAUGUUGGGUUAAGUCCCGCAACGAGCGCAACCCUUAUUGUUAGUUGCCAUCAUUCAGUUGGGCACUCUAGCGAAACUGCCGGUGACAAACCGGAGGAAGGUGGGGAUGACGUCAAAUCAUCAUGCCCCUUAUGACCUGGGCUACACACGUGCUACAAUGGACAGUACAAUGAGCAGCGACACGGCGACGUGAAGCGAAUCUCAUAAAGCUGUUCUCAGUUCGGAUUGUAGGCUGCAACUCGCCUACAUGAAGCCGGAAUCGCUAGUAAUCGCGGAUCAGCACGCCGCGGUGAAUACGUUCCCGGGCCUUGUACACACCGCCCGUCACACCACGAAAGUUUGUAACACCCAAAGUCGGUGAGGUAACCUUCGGGAGCCAGCCGCCUAAGGUGGGAUAGAUGAUUGGGGUGAAGUCGUAACAAGGUAACCA